UUUUAAUGUGUUUCAUUUCUGUUUUGUUUGUAUUGGAGCCAUUUGAAACAUCAAAGCAUGUUCCUGUGUCCAAUUGCAUAAGCAGAUAAAUAAUUUCAUGUGAGCAUUAUGAUGCUUCUGUAGUUUGUUUUCGUCAGGUGAAGAAAUAAAAUAUGGUAUUUGUUAUAGAUAAUUGUUUUAUAGUUAUUUUAUCAUAGUUCCCAAGGGCAUCUUUUGAAAUUUUCAGGCAGGGUAUUUAUGCUACCGCUGGGUAGAGAGAGUUAUUAUUGACCACGAGCAAAUUAGAAAUACCAACUGCUAAGUUUUGGGAGAAAAAGAGGAUAUGUGGUUCCUUUUGCCAGCUUCGAGCUAUGAAAGGUAGUCUGGACGGUUAACUAUUAUGCAAGCUAGCACAAGAAAAGUAAAGAACAAAUCCCGAGUACCGACUGAACAAAAUCACCUCAUGUCGGGAUGCUAUAACAACAGCCAGUAAAAGGAGGCCAUAGAUGGAUCAUGGAUCAGCUUGAUGAGUACUUCUGUGAAGUUCACCUUUUUCCUUUUGAGGUUGGACUUGUGUAUUGGAUUUCUGAAAUGUGGCUUCACUUUGCUGUUUGUGGCAUAGGAGAAGAUUGGAAAUCUGCCUACCUAAUUGUUUAUGUGAACUUACGGGUAGGGAGGUUGAUUUUUCUUUCUUGCAAGGCUAUUGAUUCACUUGUAUC